UCUCUAUCUCACUCUCUCUCUAACGAUUGCUCUCCCUUCUCUCUAGAACCUUCUGGUUCCCUCCUUCUUCUCCGACGAGUUUCAUCGCCUCUCCGGCCAUGUUCCGUCCUCACUUCUCCCGACCUCUAGCAAACAUGGGAUCCUGUAUCAUUACUUCUCUCCGAGGUUUGAAUCCCUGGAAGCUUCCACCAUGAAGAUGGUCACUGAAUCCUCGCCAAGUGUCCGUUUUCGGCCUUUCUCCGAUGGAUUUUGGUCCGAUGAUACUGAAAACUCCAUUACCCUUGAGAUUCACAUCCAGGUUUCUCUUACCUCUCUCACUGGAUUCUUAUGAAACCCUUAUCUUAACCCAAACCUCUCAAAUCUCUAAUUUUAACGAUUUUAACUCGUACCUUUAUGUUUUGCACUAUUUUUUACUCGAUCUUUACGAUUACUCCAACUUUAAACGAUUUUGUCCCCUUUUGAAACUAGGGUUUCUGACCCCUUUUUGAAAUUACUUUAUUUUUUGAUUUUGAGUACUAAUUCAUGAUUCUGAGUACUAUUUUUCUAAUAUUUUGCUUAAGUCUGAUGAAACCCUAACUUUGUAUGUUUGUGUUUGCAUUAUUUGCUUGUUUUGUGUGCUUCUGGGUUCUUCUCCGAGUUCUAUGCUUUUGCUCUAAUUUUGUCGUAUGUAUUUCAUUCCCCUACCAUUCUGUGUUCUUCACUUAAAGUUUCUCUUAUUGCAUACGUGGUGAUUUAUACUGAUUCUUCAAGCCCUCUUGAGAACGUGAUACUUGCUUUAAAAUUGUGAUUCUGUGUAUUUUCCCUAUAGUUUGAAUUUCUUCCUUAAUUUGUGGGAUACUUUCCUCGGUGAAUACUGAUUUUCUAGGUUUUCAAUCUCGGUCAUUAUUUUGAAAGACUAAUUUUUUAGAAUUACGGUGGUAUUUUGCCCUAUAUAUGUACACAAAUUUGUUGAUUGAUUUGCCUGAACUAUUUCCCUAAUUGGAUGGUCAUGUAUCUAGUCUUUAUUGCAUUCUUUGUGCCACUCUGUUUCCUUGUGUGAUUAUACCUUACUUUAUGAUUUCUUUCCUUUUAAAAUGACUGAUUAAGGAUCCCUUAAUCAAAGGGAAGUCCAUAUACUGAUUGGAUUGUGAUUGAUGUCAGUCCCUUAAUUAAACUGAUACCUUGUUUGUUAACUCGUAUUCAGUACAAUAAGUACCCUACCCAUUCUUUUUGCAAUACAUCAACACAUUGCAUAUCACUUAACACCCACAGACACGAAUACACUCAGUGUUGUGAACUCUCUCUUUCACACAAACAUCUUUUUGCUCUUUGUUUCCACACAAUUUCCUGUCACUUUUCCUGUUGAAUGCUAAUCACUCAAUUGUCUGCAAGCCAAAAUUGAGUAAUCUUGGUCACUUUCACUCUGUUGGCCUUAACUGUGUUGUUUUCUUCGGGUCUGCUUGCUGCUCACUUCUUGCAUACUGCUGCUCACUUCACGCAUAGUGCUGCUCUGCUCUGUGCUUCUCUAUGCACACUACCGCUCACUUCUUUGCUCACUAUGCUCUGUGUUUACAUUAUUUUUCAACUAGUAUGUAUCUUGUUUAAAUUAUAGCCUAAAAGCAACAUGCUUCUAUUGUUGCUGCACUUUCUUUUGUUCCUUUUGUGCUUCUACUUGUGGUUCUGCUGCUCCUAUUGCAACAAGCAUGCAUCUCUGUUAACUGGUAUGCCUAAUUAGUAAGCUAAGCAUGUUCAUUACCCCCUUGCCUAUCCCAAUGCAUGGUUCCCCUUUGCUUAUGUAUACUAUUAGCAUCCUCUUGGCUACUCCGUAGACCAAAACUUUUUUCGAGGAUGAUUUGGUGUCUGGUACUGUAAGAACUAGACUCCUAUUUAAAACAUGAAUCCGCUUUAAUGUGUGUGUCUGAUUGUUUUGUUCGUGAGCUAUUUGUUCCCUUUACCUUUACCUCUAUCUGUGUUGCUUUCAAAACUAACCCAAAGUAACUGUUUUCAAACUCAAUUAAGUUUUUUCAAUCUUCUACUACUUUUCUCAAAAUGUCCUUCGUGUAAAACCUUUUCAACUCAACUCCUUCACAAUCACACUACUCUUAGAAUUAGGUCCUACCCCCUUGUUAAGCAUUGCUUUGGGUACCUUGAGUACCCACUGAACUUUGAUGCACAAGGUUGGAAAUUCCACACUUGCACUUAUCAAUGGUGAUUUGUUUUGGGUGCCUGGUAUUGGCUGGGGUCUCAAGAGACCCCUAGGGAACUUUGCCGAACCCAAACUCUUGGUGAAAGCUCUGAAGCUCGAAAGAAGCGAGGCUGGAGGUUCGGGCCUGGCUGAAGGCUGUCAAUAGAAUAGAUUCUUGUUUUAUUUUUCAUUACUG
rnacentral:lncRNA from 1 species